rnacentral:tRNA from 1 species
GGAGGGUUAGCGAAGUGGUCAAACGCGGCUGACUGUAAAUCAGCUCCCAUUCGGGUUCGGUGGUUCGAAUCCAUCACCCUCCACCA